AGCUUACCCGCGAAAAUCAUCAUUUUUAACAUUACUUUAAAUACAACGGUUUGCCGUCGAUAUCUGACCAGGGGACCAAAUUAUUCAGAUCGAUCUGGAGGGAAUUACCGCAUUGAAAGAAUGCGAUCUCAACUGCUUGUUAAAGCAGAACGGACACUUUCAAGUUGGCGGAGUGCAUACAAUCGGAACAGCUUUGCAAAUCGCAUGGCACAGAUUGCAGUGCAUAAAAGAUACUGACGCAUCAAUAUCUUUCUAAUCGAGAUUCCAAACAACUUCAUAAUAUAUGUGAAGUUGCCUGCAUCUGACAUAGAGCCUUAAUCAGACGAGUUCCCUAGAACCAUUGGCAGUUAAUAUAGUCAAAUUGGACAACCCUCAGCCUUGCAAGACAAUUCUACAGAAGAUCGGGCCUAUGCCAAGUACCACAUUGUAAAUUUAGAUAUGUACCAACCCUUCUCUUCUGGGCAAGAUGAGGUCUACCAAGGACCUCUAAUUAUUUAAUUCCUGCGCAUUUUGAGAUAACAUCAACCCUCACACAAUGGUUACCCUGCUGUUUUCAAAAUGUGAUUGGAUAUACCAGCUUCCAAUUAAAUUUGUAAAAGACAUGCCAAUAUGCAAGCGUUCCCCCGGAGAACCUUUGCAUGCAUCAACCAAUGCUGUCACCUUUAACCGCCUAAGCAGGGUAUUGCUAACUUUGCGAGUGACCCACCUGGCCCCCGUGGAUUCCAUAGUUCUUAGCAUGCUUUGGAAUUAUGGUGUCGUUAUGAUCAUAGCUUCAUACUUACAUUUUGGAUUUUCUGUACUUCCGGGUGCUCAUCACACUGCGCUAUCCUUGGCUUUUCGACAACCUACUGGCUGUGUACUGGACCUCGUGGGUAACUGACUACACUGAUGUCGGGCAAGCAGACGACCCCUGGUACUAUCGACAACUGUCGAAGGAAAGAAAAACUCUCUCAGUUUUUGAAAAUUGAUUUUGCUGAACAUAGAAGAGGUCUUUUUAAAAGCCUUGCAAUGCGUAUCACUCGAUUAUUCUUAGCAACAACAUAGAGUGAUAGUCAUCCUGCAGUAAAACGAAUGGAUUUUCCCGGGCAUAUUUGUAUCGUUUGGAACAAUGACACGCACCUUCACAUUAUAAAUGUAGUUACAUUGCAUAAGGCCGAAUUCAUGGGUUCAACAGAGUCAUUGUAUGCUAACGGCAUCGACGACGGUAUAAAAUAACUAAGAUCCUAAUUAAAAACCUUCUAACAUCAGGUACGUUGAAAUCAGUCAGUAAUAAGAUUGAAUCCCUGGACUUCAUGACUCGUAUAAGUUAUGAGAUCUGACGAAGGGAGAAUAUAGAAGCACCUAAUGUACAAAUAGAAUGACUGUAAUUUCGCUUUUAGAGCCGCAGUUUGGUAACUCUGCGGGCGCGAUCUGAACCCUUUUUUUUAGUUGUGUAUAAAUAAAAAUUUUGUAACUCUUUUUUUAUUUUACUGCUUUAGACGGCUUUAUUGCUUACUUAAUUAUAAAAGAGUCCGAAAUUAUUAAAAUACACUGAAGUUUUGCGUUGAUAUGUUUUUGGUUUUUGCGAUCAGCAAUUAAGGCUUUCGUCAACAAAUGUCCUUCUUGUUUUUGCCGUGUUCUAGCCACAUCUACCUUGCUUUGCGGCGUUUAUAGUUUGUUUGCCGUGUUUUCAAUUGUGCAAAAUUUGCGUUCUAAUUUAAGAGACAUUUUUGCAAAAUUUUUUGUUCUUUAUAUCUUCACAAACUCUAUUUUGCCUCUUACUUUCUGAUAUUCGGUGUUUGUUUACGUCUUGUCGCACAGAAGCAGGUCCCGAUCCUAAGCGGUUCAUUACUUGUUGGCUUUGCAAUCGUUAUUGUCAUGCAAAAUCUGCAGGUAUUAUUGGUUGUGCUGCAGACGCAGUCCUAAAACUUUCUAAUGGCCCGACUGCAGGCAGCGGGACAUUGACUUUUCAAAGCUUUUCACUGAGUUUAGUAGAAAACUUGUGAUAUUAUGGGAUAAUUUGAAAAAUUGAAUUAUCGACAAAUGAAAUACUUUUCAU